rnacentral:rRNA from 1 species
UACGUAGGGGGCGAGCGUUGUCCGGAAUUAUUGGGCGUAAAGGGUUCGCAGGCGGUUUUUUAAGUCAGGUGUGAAAGGCAUAGGCUCGACCUGUGUAAGCACUUGAAACUGGAGGACUUGAGUUAAGGAGAGGAAAGUGGAAUUCCUAGUGUAGCGGUGAAAUGCGUAGAUAUUAGGAGGAAUACCAGUGGCGAAGGCGACUUUCUGGACUUAUACUGACGCUGAGGAACGAAAGCGUGGGGAGCAAACAGGAUUAGAUACCCUGGUAGUCCCUGAGCGGGCU